ACGCUCGACACCUACGGGAGCAGCAGUAGGGAAUCUUCCACAAUGGGCGCAAGCCUGAUGGAGCAACACCGCGUGAGCGAAGAAGGGUUUCGGCUCGUAAAGCUCUGUUGUUGGAGAAGAACGUGCGUGAGAGUAACUGUUCACGCAGUGACGGUAUCCAACCAGAAAGUCACGGCUAACUACGUGCCAGCAGCCGNGUAAUACUGAGGCGGGCCGGGUCGGUACGGAACGGACGC
rnacentral:rRNA from 1 species